CCUGUCUCCCUCCCUCCCUCCCUCCUCCUCUUCCCUCUCUCUCGCCCUCCCUCUCUCCCUCCGUACGUCCCUCCCACCGGUAGGUAACAGCCUCACGCUGGCACUGCAGUGGGAACCGGCAGGGAAACGAAAGUUAUGGAACUGUCCUAGCGACGGCUUUAUGUUGCAUUUGAGGAGGAGACGACGUUCUUCCAGCCCUGCUAACGGACCUGCUCAUCCUGCAGAGCGGAGCCGAGCCUUUGCGGUGCUGGGAAGUUAGGCUCCGCGCUCUCGGCUAAGGGCGAUGCUACUCGGAGAACGCUCCGAGCCGUGGGUUUCCCUCUAUGGGGCGGAACAACCCCUGCGCAAGGAGCAAAGGGCACCCCGCACCUGUCCCAGCACCCCACCUCAGCCCACUCCUCGCGCCCCUGGUGAGCAGGAGGGAUGGGGACUGGCAGCUCUGUGUGGGCACACAUCCCCAGGUGGUGGUAAUCCGUAACUGAAAGUUUCACAUGGCAGCAGUUAUUGAAGCAAAUGCAAAUAGUUUUCGCUCCUAAGGGCUGCAAGCUUUUAGGACCGUGUACCACCAGAAGGGUGCUAGAGAUAAAGCAUCCCGUUUAAUUGCUACUUUCCUGCUAACGGCUCGGGGAGUUUGGAUUUCCAGCACAAAUACCCCCUUUGAUUUGCCGUUGUCAUUUCUGAAGCAGGUUGCCUCAGUGCAGCGCAAAAACAAGGGAGAAAUCAAUCGCAGCUCACUGCUGGCAGCUCUCCUCCUCCUCCCCCUCCACUCCAAUGGUACAGACACAGAAACAUGACAGAAGAGAUGCACAAAAUGCUUUCCGCUUCUUCUGCUUUGCAGGGAAAUACAGGUGAGGAAUGGGGAAUCACUUCCAAAUUUGCUUAAAAAAAAGCACAGGGCACGUAUCCUCAAUUUCCUCUACUUCUCAUUUUGUGCUCAGAAAACUCUCCUUGACUGUUGGCACUUUCCACAGCCUGACCCACCAGCUUCCAGGGGGGAACCACAAAAGCUUCGGCACAGCUGUGUCUGUGCUCCCCAUGGGCAGGGCGGGCACCUCGGGAGCUGCUAGGGAGCGCACUGCGGAUCUCUAUCAAACUUCUUCCCUGCUCAGCGCUGUAAAGGAGGGCAGGGGGACGCAGUCCCACACAGGGCUGCACGCUGACGGGCUGGCAUGCAGGAAUCACAAAAUCAUUGAACAGUUUGGGUUGGAACAGACCUCAAAGCCCACCCACCCCAACCCCUGCCAUGGGCAGGGCUGCCCCCCACCAGCUCAGGCUGCCCAGGGCCCCAUCCAACCUGGCCUUGAGCGCCUCCAGGGAUGGGGCACCACAGCUUCUCUGGGCAGCUGUGCCAGCGCCCUCUGCAUAAAGAAACUAUGAGUUAUGGUGCCAAUAUUUAUUGCUGGGGGAGUGGAGGAAAUGACAAUUCCACAAACCAUAACCCCUGUGAUAGAAAAAGAAAUAAGGAAAAGAAUCAACAUCUCCGUGCCUCUGGCUCAGUAUUGCACUUGAUGUGCAGGUCCACUCCUAUACCGAUGAAGCAUUUAAGCAGAGCAGUAUAAACAUAUGCUUAUAUUUCGCUAGCAGGAAAUUUAAAUCAACAUUUAUCUCCAUAAAGCCAGUCCUCAAAGAAUGAAUCAGGGACCAAAUCGGUAUUGUAAUUGAACUAAAAUAAUCCUAAGCUUCCUCUAAAAGCACAUAGCUUUAACCUGUCACGUCGAAUGAGAAUUAUACACUUAAACUAUAAUCUUCCUGUUCCCUUAGUCAUCAGAGCCCAGAUCAAAGUGAAAGAGGAAAAAAGCACAGAUGCUGCUCGGUUGUGAAGGAGGAGGUGGGGCACACAGGGAGGUAAGCUGUGUUUGGAAAUGGAGUAUUUCUGCUGCCCAAAUCAGAUUCACCUGAGUGCAGCUCAUAGCUGGACACUGGGGCUCGAAGAACUUGCCUUGAUAUCAUCACCUCCUGCAACAGGUGCUGCAAGUUGCAAGUGGCCCUCAUAACAGCGUAUAUUGCCAUGUGGGAAAUCACUGGGGUGUAAGGCAGGCAGAGAGGAGGCUGAGCUGCAGUCGCUCACCAAAAUGCUGUUGUUUGGGGUGGGGUUAGGUUUGCUGUGCUUUGCUGUGGCGCUGGGUUCUUUUAAUAUUAUUAAUAAUGUGAAUAGGAGCUACGUCCCUGGGCUAUGCUGACAAGGCAGCUGCAGGCAGAAGAGCUAUGUCCUUGAGCUGUGCUGAUAAGAGCUGCAGGUGAGGGAUCUGUAGGCAGCACGCCUGGGGUAGGUGCUGGGCAUCACAGUGGUGUUAACACCCAGUUGCACUGGGAGCGUCAGGGCUGUCCACAAAAAAUUAUGUCCACCUGUCUUGUAGAAGCUUCCAGCAUUUCAUUGCAUUGAAUCUACAUGCAAAUCUGUUUCAGUCAGGAGGAAGAAUUUUGUUGCAAUUUUCGGGUCAACGUUUGUGUUGUAAAGACAUUAAGAGCUGUCACCUCGUGUGAGGAACGGUAGUACCAAUAUAACCUAUUUUUAUAGUGUUAAAAUGAUUCUUAGGUCCCAUUUCCAGUUUUGCAGGUUACCGGUGGGCAUGGUUGCUCCUGUGGUGGCACAGAAUGAAGGUGGGGACAGUGAUGGAGUUGGAGAGCUAUAACUGUGUGCUCCCUUGGCAGGACUGGGGUCAGCAUUGCAGAAGCCGCACUAUUAAUCCACUGGAGAUCGAUGAAAACCAACAUUUUUUUUUCAUAGAAUCCACAGAAUUCAUAGAAUGGUUUGGGUUGGAAGAGUCCUUCAAGCCCACUCACCCCAACCUGUGCCGUGGGCAGGGCUGCCCCCCACCAGCUCAGGCUGCCCAGGGCCCCAUCCAACCUGGCCUUGAGCGCCUCCAGGGAUGGGGCACCACAGCUUCCCUGGGCAGCUGUGUCAGCGCCUCACCGCCCUCUGAGUAAGGAAUUUCCUCAUAAGAUCUAACCUAGAUUUCCCCCUUUUAGUUUAAAGCCAUUCCCCCUUGUCCUAUCACUAUCAGACCACGUAAAAAGUCAGUUUCCCUCCUAUUUAUAUGCUCCCCUCAAGUAAUGGGAAGGCCACAGUGAAAUCUCCCUGCAUCCUUCUCUUCUCCAGACUAAACAAGCCCAGCUCCCUCAGCCUGUCUUUACAGGAGAGGUGCUCCAGCCCUCUGAGCAUCUUCAUGCCCUCCUCUGGACCCUCUCCAACAGCUCCACUCCUUCUUGUGCUGGGGGCCCCAGGCUUGGACGCAGUACUCCAGAUGGGGCCUCACGAAGGCAGAGCAGAGGAGCACAAUCACCUCCCUCUCCCUGCUGCCCACCCUUCUUGUUGAUGCAGCUCAGAACACAGUUGGCCUUCCGAGCUGCAAGCACACACUGCUGGCUCACGUCCAGCUUCUCACCCACCAGAGCCCCCAAGUCCUUCUCCGCAGGGCUGCUCUCAAGGAGUUCUCCCAGCCAUUGAAGUGCACAUUAAAGGGGGUUUGUGGAAAGCAAGACUCCCGUUCCAAAAGCAGAUGCACACCAUUAGUAUGACCCAAAAGGUUAUACUUAUCCAGUUGCUUCCUUUGUUUUACACAGCAGUUUGGGCCCGGAUCAGUGAACCUCGGCUGCAGCACACCACAGCACAACAAGAAGCCACUUACAAAAAGCCCAAAGACAAAACAACCAUGACGUGAAACUCUUUGACAUAUAAGUUCUCGUAACCAUUUCCUUUGGAGGGAAAAGUCUGAAGUUCACCCUCUACAUUCUGGAGUAAGUGUAAGCUGUGAGAGGAUAAAAAACUAUUUACUGAGAAAAGGCAAAAAACUGAACUGCUUCAGUAAACUGAUAGCCCUUCGAAAGCUUCUUUAAUUUCUCUUCACAAUGGAUAUAGUGUUCUUCAGAUCCGUUUUGCUUAUGCGUGCCUCGUACCAGCAUCCACCCACUAUGUGUAAGAAAGCAAGCUAGUGGUAUGUGAAUAGAGAUGUAUUCAGAGGUACAAAGGCUAACGGUUCGGAUUUCCCUUAAUACUUAUCACUAACAAUUUUUGCUAGCUAAAUUUUUGCUGUCUAAUAAUUUCAGUACGUCAUGAUGUCUCAUAGCUUCUUGAGAAGAACUUUUGAGAGCCAAAAUCUAACUCCAGUGCACGCUGGACUUGGCCUUUUACAUGUACAGCAGUCCUUGCUCACUGAGACAUUGCAGAGGUAUGGACUUUCACUUUUACUUUCACUCCAUGUAAGACCUCCCAUCUAAUCUACCCUCAUCCUUUGUUCCUGCUGCUCCAGGACCAACGGCUGAUAGAACCUGCAGCUGUGCCUUUUGCUCGCAUGUCCCUGGGUGGGACCUGACCAAGGACACCACUCAUGGCCACUGCCUGCACUCAGCCUGUGUCUCACUCAGAGACACAGCCCAUCUCUGACAGGAAUUCUGACUUGGUUUAAAGCCUCACUAACACAAAAACCUUUUCCUCCUGCUGAUAAGCUGCUAACCAUCCAAAGCAUGGAGCUUUUUUUGCCCUGUUUCUUGCUGUGUUUUGUUGGCUGGGAACUCCAUCCUGCUUUUUAUCCCUCAAUUAGCAGAUACAGGCUGUGAUCAAGAUGCCUCUUGAUUUUCUUUUGAAUAAACUGUCCAAUUUUUUUUUCUCUGCAGUCUUCUUAUGUAGUAGACAAGGGCUGUACCUGGUGAGCAUCCAGCAGCGCAGGAGGCUGCAAGGUCCUGGAUGUGGUGCAGAGAAUUGGCUUCCUCGUGACAGAACAAGAAGUAACAAUUCCAAACUAAAAGGGGAGAUUCAGAUUAGAUAUUAGGAAAAUAUUUCCUAGGAGGGUGGUGAGGCGUUGGCACAGCUGCCCAGGGAAGCUGUGGUGCCCCAUCCCUGGAGGCGCUCAAGGCCAGGUUGGAUGAGGCCCUGGGCAGCCUGAGCUGGUGGGCGGCAGCCCUGCCCAUGGCUCGGGUUAGGGCAGCGUGGGCUUGGAGGUCCCUUCCAACCCAAAUCGUUCUAUGGUUCUGUGAUCCUAUGACUCAUUAGCCAUAAGGUCUUGGGCUGUGUUUCUCUUCUUCCCUUCUGGGCUUUUCCAGAGACACAUCCAGGGGUGCCACACAGCUCCAGGAUACUGCAACCCUCUGUGCCCCGUGAUGAGCCCUUCUUCAGAGCUGACUCACAGCAGGCUGAGCACCACUUUACAACAGUGGCGAUAAUCAAACCACAUGCUCCAGGUCUUUGGCUCCAGGUCAGGAAUAAGGAAAUAGUUUUUUUUACGACUCCUCACAGCAUGAUUGAUGGGAAGUACAUGGACUAGCACGUACUUUGCUUGUAGACUUUGAUUUUCCUUUGGAAAGGAAAGUCCUAGGCACGUCACCUGACCUGGGACACAUGUAGGGGGUUUGCUUUUGUUCUGCACCAGAAGUUAUGGCUCAGUCAUGUGAUGGACUUCCGUGCACCCACCACCCAUCUUUGGUCUCAUCCUUGCCAGGGAGGAAUUCCCUUCUGUCACAGUCUUGCAGGCAUCCAGGAGGUCAUCGGAAUGCAGAUCCCUGCAGGAUAUGAGCCCCUGAGUAGCAUUAUCAGGAGGCAGGCUCAGGCAUAUCGACAGUGCACAGGAAGCACAGAGUGAAUGGCACAGUGGGGCUCCUCUCCUUGAAGAGGUGCUGGCAGAUACCUUCCAUGUAGCAGCCCAGCAGUUACAGAGCAGCCUCAGAAGCAGAAAUCAAAAUGCCACGUCUCUGGGAUCAGCUCCAUCCCACAUAUGUCAACUGUCAAAAGGUAUCAGGAAGGACAAAGUAAAGGAGAGUUCUAUGAGGAGGAACAGUGUGCUUGCAAAAGAAAACAGUUUUUCACAAGGCACAUCCGCCCUAAGGAAAAAUGCAGCUCUCUAGGCAGGGAAACCUUGUUAAUCAGCACCACUCUCAUCCAACCAUCUGCAGGCCUGCUCUGCCGCACUCUGACCCUUUCUGUUACCCAAGAGAGAUCCAUCCUUUAUUCCUGACCCAAAAGAACUCCCAACAUCCACCAUGUUGCUGGACUGAACCACCACUCCAUCAUUAUGUAAACUGGGCCACACAAGCCCCAGGUAUCUGGAGCAACUUUCCCCCGAUAACUCGGUGUGAUUUCAUCCUUUUGGGCCAGGGGCUCAGCCACCACCAAGUACCCAAAUGAAAUCCUGCUGCAGCCUCAUCCAACAUUACUUGGUAUGCACUGUGCUUCUGAAAAUAGCUCCUGAGCACAUCCACUCAUCACGUGUCUCCUUGCUACUGCUGCAUCACGUUACGGCUCCUCAGGCUUCACAACGAACCCAUGCACACAGGCUCAUACAAGCGUCCCAGGAGGACAGGCACUCAAAUUCAAGUAGAAACUCCUGUUUGUCCCCAAAGCAUGUGAUGUUGGUUCUUUACACUCUCAAAUUUCUGCUCACUUGCAUCCUUCCAGGGCCAUUUCCUGGCCCACUAUCCUGUUUUAUACACAGGCAGCAUUCCCACCUCCUCGCCCAUGCUGCGCUUCAUCAGCCUGUGCCAGGCAUCAGUUAAGCAUGGUUCCCAAAAUCGAUCCCUGCAGAGUGCUACCACCUCAGCCUCAUCCUGUUCAGCCCCUCUGCUCCUGAGCAGCAGAUUUUGGUUGCCUGGGUCCCCCAGUCCUGUUGGAGCCAUUUCCUGCAGCUGAUGCAGGCAUCUGCAACAGAAUACACUGGUGCUUCACUGAAACCAGCUCCAGGCUGGUCAGAGGCUGGGCAUCAUUUUUCAUCACUGCCUCUAGCUUUCAUCAUAAUCCAAUUAGGAGCACAUGGACGCCAGCACCAGACCCAUUUAAGUUGGCUGUACUCAACAUUAAUGCAGCGUACUGCAUCAUUAAAAUCCAGCAACCUUGCAACUCUUGUGGAAAAGUACUGGAGCACACAAAAAGCCAAGAAUCCUCUAACACUCUGUGCUCCAUUUCUGACUGCUGGCAUCACUCAUGUGGAAUGGCCAGCAGCUGCUUCUCAGCUGGGUCUGGAGUGGGAUGCUGGAAGGGAAUGCUGGAAGGGGACAAAUCUGCUUUGUUUGUUUGGAGCUUCUUGUGUAGGUAACUUACUUCUUAAAAUACAACAAAAAGAAAAAAUCCCUGUAGUCGUGAGGGAAGGAAAUAUAGACCCAGCAACAAGUAAGAAGGCCACUCAUGUGCCUGGUGUGUGCCCUGGGGCUACUAACUUUAACAAGUCCAGAAACCACAAGUGUCCUCAUGGCACCAGUGCUGCUCUGCCCUGCCCUACCAAGGGCUUGCAGGUGCUGGGGUGUUACUGCUGAAAUAUUGUAAAGCUUCAAGGUAAAAAAAGAAAUAAAAUGCUUCCCUAGUAAGCUGAGAAUUGGAUUUAACAGGAAAAAGGCAUUUGUCCUGAUGAAGUCCUCUUGGUCCAAGGCCUUAAGUGCUCAGCCUGGGCCAUUUCCCUCUCCCUACUGGCCAUCCCUCUUACAAUGCAGCCCAGGAUAUAGUUGGCCUUCUGAUCUGCAAGCACACACUGUUGGCUCAUGUCCAGCUUUUCAUCCACCAGGACCUCCAAGUCCUUCUCGGCAGAGCUGCUUUCAAGGAGUUCUUCUCCCAGUCUGUACAUAUAGUUGGGAUUACCCUGAUCCAAGUACAACCCCUUGCACUUGGCUUUGUUGAACCUCACUAAGUUCAC
ensembl:lncRNA